rnacentral:misc_RNA from 1 species
GAUGAAGAACGCAGCGAAAUGCGAUAAGUAAUGUGAAUUGCAGAAUUUAGUGAAUCAUCGAAUCUUUGAACGCACAUUGCGCCCAUUAGUAUUCUAGUGGGCAUGCCUGUUCGAGCGUCAUUAAUUCCACUUAAGCCCUGCUUAGUGUUGGGAAUCUACUCUAGUGGUGCUACCCUGGAGCUACCCCUGAAAGGGGGCUGGCCCGGUAGCUACCCUGUAGUUCCUCAAAGAUAGUGCGCGGAGUUGCGUGGUCCUCUGAGCUUAGUAACUAUACACCUAGCUUUUGAGUGUCCCGCGGCGCCUGCCGUUUAAACCCCAUCUUUUAAUGGUUGACCUCGGAUCAGGUAGGAAUACCCGCUGAACUUAAGCAUAUCAAUAAGCGGAGGA